CAGCAGCCACGGUAAUACAGGGGAUGCAAGCGUUAUCCGGAAUGAUUGGGCGUAAAGCGUCUGUAGGUGGCUUUUCAAGUCCGCCGUCAAAUCCCCGGGCUCAACCCUGGACAGGCAGUGGAAACUACCAAGCUGGAGUACGGUAGGGGCAGAGGGAAUUUCCGGUGGAGCGGUGAAAUGCGUAGAGAUGUGGAGGAACACCAGUGGCGAAGGCGACUCUCUGGUCUGUAACUGACGCUGAGGAGCGAAAGCGUGGGGAGCGAACAGGAUUAGAGACCCCAGUAGUCCCUGUCUCUUAUAC
rnacentral:rRNA from 1 species